CGGUGUGACGCCUGCCCGGUGCCGGAAGGUUAAUUGAUGGGGUUAGUUUUCGGACGAAGCUCUUGAUCGAAGCCCCGGUAAACGGCGGCCGUAACAAUAACGGUCCUAAGGUAGCGAAAUUCCUUGUCGGGUAAGUUCCGACCUGCACGAAUGGCGUAAUGAUGGCCACGCUGUCUCCACCCGAGACUCAGUGAAAUUGAAAUCGCUGUGAAGAUGCGGUGUACCCGCGGCUAGACGGAAAGACCCCGUGAACCUUUACUGCAGCUUGACAUUGAACUUUGAUCUUACUUGUGUAGGAUAGGUGGGAGGCUUUGAAACCGAGACGCUAGUUUCGCGUGGAGCCAAUCUUGAAAUACCACCCUGGUAAUAUUGAGGUUCUAACUCUGUCCCGUUAUCCGGGACGAGGACCAUGUCUGGUGGGUAGUUUGACUGGGGCGGUCUCCUCCUAAAGAGUAACGGAGGAGUACGAAGGUGCGCUCAGCGUGGUCGGAAAUCACGCGUAGAGUAUAAAGGCAAAAGCGCGCUUAACUGCGAGACCCACAAGUCGAGCAGGUACGAAAGUAGGUCUUAGUGAUCCGGUGGUUCUGUAUGGAAGGGCCAUCGCUCAACGGAUAAAAGGUACUCCGGGGAUAACAGGCUGAUACCGCCCAAGAGUUCAUAUCGACGGCGGUGUUUGGCACCUCGAUGUCGGCUCAUCACAUCCUGGGGCUGAAGUCGGUCCCAAGGGUAUGGCUGUUCGCCAUUUAAAGUGGUACGCGAGCUGGGUUUAGAACGUCGUGAGACAGUUCGGUCCCUAUCUGCCGUGGGCGUUUGAGAAUUGAGAGGGGUUGCUCCUAGUACGAGAGGACCGGAGUGGACGAACCGCUGGUGUUCGGGUUGUCAUGCCAAUGGCAUUGCCCGGUAGCUACGUUCGGAACUGAUAAGCGCUGAAAGCAUCUAAGCGCGAAGCAGGCCUCGAGAUGAGUUCUCACUAGACUUUUAAAGUCUCUGAAGGGCCGUUGAAGACUACAACGUUGAUAGGCAAGAUGUGGAAGUGGUGUGAGCCAUUAAGCUAACUUGUAC
rnacentral:rRNA from 1 species